CCUACGGGUGGCAGCAGUGAGGAAUAUUGGGCAAUGGGCGGGAGCCUGAACCAGCCAAGCCGCGUGAAGGAAGAAGGCGCCAGGCGUCGUAAACUUCUUUUGUCGGGGAACAAAGGGCGCCACGCGUGGCGUUGUGAGUGUACCCGAAGAAAAAGCAUCGGCUAACACCGUGCCAGCAGCCGCGGUAAUACGGGGGAUGCGAGCGUUAUCCGGAUUUAAUUGGUUUAAAGGGUGCGUGGGCGGUCCGGAUAGUCAGGGGUAAAAGCCCGGGGCUCAACCCCGGCGAGCCGUUGAAACUGUCGGACUAGAGAGGGGGAGAGGUACGCGGAAUGCGCGGUGUAGCGGUGAAAUGCAUAGAUAUCGCGCAGAACGCCGAUUGCGAAGGCAGCGUACCGGCGCCGGACUGACGCUGAGGCACGAAAGCGUGGGUAUCGAACAGGAUUAGAUACCCCUGUAGUC
rnacentral:rRNA from 1 species